GGCGGCGUGCUUAACACAUGCAAGUCGAGCGGUGACCUCCUUCGGGAGGUGAUCAGCGGCGAACGGGUGAGUAACACGUGGGCAACCUGCCCCUCACACUGGGAUAACCUCGGGAAACCGGGGCUAAUACCGGAUACGACCUCGAGCGGCAUCUCUUGAGGUGGAAAGCUCCGACGGUGAGGGAUGGGCCCGCGGCCUAUCAGCUUGUUGGUGGGGUAAUGGCCUACCAAGGCGACGACGGGUAGCCGGCCUGAGAGGGCGACCGGCCACACUGGGACUGAGACACGGCCCAGACUCCUACGGGAGGCAGCAGUGGGGAAUAUUGCGCAAUGGGCGAAAGCCUGACGCAGCGACGCCGCGUGAGGGAUGAAGGCCUUCGGGUUGUAAACCUCUUUCAGCAGGGACGAAGCGAAAGUGACGGUACCUGCAGAAGAAGCACCGGCUAACUACGUGCCAGCAGCCGCGGUAAUAC
rnacentral:rRNA from 1 species